GUCUUAAAAAAUGAAAAAUGUUACUGAAGAAGGCUGUUUGCAAGCUGACUUCCAUGGAUGCCUGAAGCUGCAAUGUGAACUCUGGCCAUCACACUGUGCAAGAACUCAAAAUCUGACUGAAAAUGUUACCUGCAAACAUGUGCUUACCUGGAGGUAGAAAUGACCCACUGAGGCUAGGAAAAGGGAUAAUGCCAGUGCCUGGUGAGGCAAAGUGAACCCCAGGUGUCCCAGUCCCAGGAGCAGGACAAAAUGAGGGCACUUCUGCGUGGCCAUCAGCAGGCAGCUAACCACAAACUCUGGUUUGCAGCAUGACAAAGCAGAGAAGAACUCUUUACUGGCAACUGCUGACCCACCUUAUCCAGUAAGUUUGUUCACAAGGUGGGCUACUUACACACAGAGGUGGUUGUAGGCAUAACAGCUGCUGAUACCUGCUCUUUUCCUCUAUCCUGGGAUGAGAAAUCUAUGCAAGAUGAGUGCAUUUUGUAUUUCUUUCCUUCCUCCCCUCAAAUAAAAUUUCUGACCUUCAGUAUGUCUACAGCUGUUCCAGGUGUACUGUGUUACUGUGUAGGUAACACAAUUUCCACAAGAAGUUAUGAUUUAAUGCAGCUAGAAAAAGUAAGACAAAGAAAAUAACAACAGACCUACACAUGUUUUCCAUGGGCUUUGGACUAGAAAUAAAUUUUCAUUAUAAAAACUCUUGUAAAGACCCUCCAGUUUCCUAAAACUUUCCAAGUUAAAAGCAUGUUGUAUGGGAAAUUCAGUAAUAUUGACCUGGAGAAUACACUGACCUCUUCUUCUGCAGACUUCCUUACACCUUUAUAAAUUUAAAAUCACGAGGCACGUUUUUUGUCUCAAAUGUUUCUUGCUGUUUGGAUCCUCUAUGCAUGACGUCUUUUCAUUCUGUUGAAAUCAAACCUCCACAAUGGCUAAAUAACAGCCCUAGAAAGCAGUUACACCUAUCUAGGGCUUGUAAGGAUUUGUAGAUAUUUAAUCAAUGUGAUAGCUGUCUGAUUUAUCUUUUAUAAAAAACAAAUUGAUCUUCCAAUGCAUUUCUUGCAAAAUGUUGUCUUUAAUCUUUGUCAGAGUAGAAAGGGAAUAUAGCUAAUGCGUUGCAUGUAUUUUAGAAUGAAGCCUGAUUGUGUAAGUAGACAUCCUCAGAAUUGUUGCUGCACCAUACAAUGCUGUUUUUCUAUAUUGUUAUUAGCAAAAUGAUCAUACAUAUUUUUCUGUCCACAGACUUACCUUUGAUCAAUUUAUACUUUUGGCAUGCUUGAGGUGCAGCCAAUCAAGGACUGAAUACCAUAUCUCUAUCUAUUUAAUUCAGUCUACAUUCUUUAUGUAACGUAAACAAAUAAAAUUAUGAACUGCUAACUUCCUGCGGUCCUGCAUGUGCCAAACACCUCAGCUUCUCUUAUUCUGCUACUAAGUGAACCUUGAUUCUUUGACAGCUUUGUGUCUGAGCUUUCAUUACAGCUUGUGUUUGUUGCUUGAAAUGCAGACAAAAUUACCAUCUGUGGUUUGGACUGUCUUAUUGACAAACCUCAGUGCCUCUGUAAUUAAUAAUCCUCAAAUCUUUUUAUAUUAAGUGUUCAUUAGCUAGGAGGGUUUUUUUAUUAGUGAGGAGGAAUUUUUUUAUGGAAUCUAAUAUUUCUAUGCUAACUUAUGCUUCUUUUAAAUAAAUAAACAAGAAGUUUCAUG
rnacentral:lncRNA from 7 species